GGCGGACGGGUGAGUAAUGCUUAGGAAUCUGCCUAUUAGUGGGGGACAACGUUCCGAAAGGAAUGCUAAUACCGCAUACGUCCUACGGGGGAAAGCAGGGGAUCUUCGGACCUUGCGCUAAUAGAUGAGCCUAAGUCGGAUUAGCUAGUUGGUGGGGUAAAGGCCUACCAAGGCGACGAUCUGUAGCGGGUCUGAGAGGAUGAUCCGCCACACUGGGACUGAGACACGGCCCAGACUCCUACGGGAGGCAGCAGUGGGGAAUAUUGGACAAUGGGCGAAAGCCUGAUCCAGCCAUGCCGCGUGUGUGAAGAAGGCCUUUUGGUUGUAAAGCACUUUAAGCGAGGAGGAGGCUCCUUUAGUUAAUACCUAAAGUGAGUGGACGUUACUCGCAAAAUAAGCACCGGCUAAUUCUGUGCCAGCAGCCGCGGUAAUACAGAGGGUGCGAGCGUUAAUCGGAUUUACUGGGCGUAAAGCGUGCGUAGGCGGCUUUUUAAGUCGGAUGUGAAAUCCCUGAGCUUAACUUAGGAAUUGCAUUCGAUACUGGAAAGCUAGAGUAUGGGAGAGGAUGGUAGAAUUCCAGGUGUAGCGGUGAAAUGCGUAGAGAUCUGGAGGAAUACCGAUGGCGAAGGCAGCCAUCUGGCCUAAUACUGACGCUGAGGUACGAAAGCAUGGGGAGCAAACAGGAUUAGAUACCCUGGUAGUCCAUGCCGUAAACGAUGUCUACUAGCCGUUGGGGCCUUUGAGGCUUUAGUGGCCCAGCUAACGCGAUAAGUAGACCGCC
rnacentral:rRNA from 1 species